rnacentral:tRNA from 1 species
UCCUCGGUAGUCUAGCGGUUAAGAUAGUACGUUCUCACCGUGCGGUCCCGGGUUCGAUUCUGUUAUCUAGAUUCCCGGUCGAGGAA